rnacentral:rRNA from 1 species
CGUAGGCAGCAAGCGUUGUUCGGAGUUACUGGGCGUAAAGGGUGUGUAGGCGGUCUUCUAAGUUUGGUGUGAAAUCUCCCGGCUCAACUGGGAGGGUGCGCCGAAAACUGGGAGGCUAGAGUGCGGGAUGGGAGAGUGGAAUUCCUGGUGUAGCGGUGAAAUGCGUAGAUAUCAGGAGGAACACCUGUGGUGUAGACGGCUCUCUGGACCGCAACUGACGCUGAGACACGAAAGCGUGGGUAGCAAACAGGAUUAGAUACCCUGGUAGUCCACGCCCUAAACGAUGCAUAUUUGGUGUGGGCCAUUCAUUUGGUCCGUGCCGGAGCUAACGCGUUAAAUAUGCCGCCUGGGGAGUACGGUCGCAAGGCUG